rnacentral:rRNA from 1 species
AUACGUAGGUGACAAGCGUUAUCCGGAUUUACUGGGCGUAAAGGGCGUGUAGGCGGUCUUGCAAGUCAGAAGUGAAAUUCCUGAGCUCAACUCGGGCGCUGCUUCUGAAACUGCAGGACUUGAGUGCUGGAGGGGAUAGCGGAAUUCCUAGUGGAGCGGUAAAAUGCGCAGAUAUUAGGAAGAACACCGGUGGCGAAGGCGGCUAUCUGGACAGUAACUGACGCUGAGGCGCGAAAGCGUGGGGAGCAAACAGGAUUAGAUACCCUGGUAAUCCACGCCGUAAACGAUGAAUACUAGGUGUAGGGGGUAUCGACUCCCUCUGUGCCGCAGUUAACACAAUAAGUAUUCCGCCUGGGGAGUACGGCCGCAAGGUUGAAACUCAAAUGAAUUGACGGGG